AUCUGCCUGGUAGUGGGGGACAACGUUUCGAAAGGAACGCUAAUACCGCAUACGUCCUACGGGAGAAAGCAGGGGACCUUCGGGCCUUGCGCUAUCAGAUGAGCCUAGGUCGGAUUAGCUAGUUGGUGGGGUAAUGGCUCACCAAGGCGACGAUCCGUAACUGGUCUGAGAGGAUGAUCAGUCACACUGGAACUGAGACACGGUCCAGACUCCUACGGGAGGCAGCAGUGGGGAAUAUUGGACAAUGGGCGAAAGCCUGAUCCAGCCAUGCCGCGUGUGUGAAGAAGGUCUUCGGAUUGUAAAGCACUUUAAGUUGGGAGGAAGGGCAGUAAGCUAAUACCUUGCUGUUUUGACGUUACCGACAGAAUAAGCACCGGCUAACUCUGUGCCAGCAGCCGCGGUAAUACAGAGGGUGCAAGCGUUAAUCGGAAUUACUGGGCGUAAAGCGCGCGUAGGUGGUUUGUUAAGUUGGAUGUGAAAGCCCCGGGCUCAACCUGGGAACUGCAUCCAAAACUGGCAAGCUAGAGUACGGUAGAGGGUGGUGGAAUUUCCUGUGUAGCGGUGAAAUGCGUAGAUAUAGGAAGGAACACCAGUGGCGAAGGCGACCACCUGGACUGAUACUGACACUGAGGUG
rnacentral:rRNA from 1 species